AACAGCUAGAAGACAAGACAGUGUGAUGUUUUAGAACUUGCUGAAAUAAUAAGUAGUAAGAAGUUGCUUACAACAGCCAAUCUGUCUAUAAGCAUCAAGUUGGCACACCAUGGUGAAUCCUCAUUAAGUCUUUUCAUUUCAUUUCUGGAAAAGAACAUCUGGAGUUGAAUUCUGCUGUUUGUUCUCUCCUGUUCUUAUCAAGGAGAGUUACAUCUACAUGGUUAUGCUAAUGAAAUCCAGAAAAUUCAAAAGUCAGUUGCCAUAUGUAGGCAAAUGUAGGAUUCUAAGGAUAUCAGCAAUGACAAACAGCAAGGACAGGUGGAGAAUCUAUGUGCUUAAAUCUUGGCAUGUUUAUAAACACAGGAAAUAGAAAACAGGUCACAUUUCUCUACUGGUGGAAUAAAACAGAGAAAUUAAAUAGCAUUUUUACAAAUUGUAAGAAGACCAGCUUACAAAGGUAAGGAGAUGUUUUAUGCUUCUGUGAGUAGCUUACAAGUUAGUGUUUCUAAGAGCCACAUGGUUUCCUUUCUGGGAUUCUCAGUGAGUACAGCAUAGACCCAUAUGUCGGAUUAUUCAUAACUGUUCCCAGCAUGCUGUAUGUUCAGUUGCCUCCUGUAAUUUCCCAAAACUAAACCAUCAGGAGAAUUCUCUUGCAGAACUUAGAGAGAAGAGAUGACAUACUAUCUCAAGAUGCUUAGACUAUGUUUUGUAAAUUUUACAAGCAAACAAGACAGUGAACCAAACAAGACUUUUCAAUUCCUUUCAAACACUGAAAGAGUACACACAUACAAGAAAUUAUUUGAUGUAAAGGUAACAUAAAAUCAAACACUUUUCUCUAAAGUUGUAUUGAGAAGAGAAAUGGUUGUAAUGCUUAUAAAAGAUUAAAUUAUAAAGUGAACCAGACAAUACAAAUAUUUUGCCCAUUU